UGGGGAAUAUUGCACAAUGGAGGAACCUCUGAUGCAGCGACGCCGCGUGAGUGACGAAGGUCUUCGGAUCGUAAAACUCUGUCCUUGGGGACGAAAAAAAUGACGGUAGCCAAGGAGGAAGCCCCGGCUAACUACGUGCCAGCAGCCGCGGUAAUACGUAGGGGGCGAGCGUUGUCCGGAUUUACUGGGCGUAAAGGGUGAGUAGGCGGUAAUAUGUGUCAGAUGUAAAAGGCUAUGGCUUAACCAUAGUUGGCAUUUGAAACUGUAUUACUUGAGUGCAGGAGAGGUAAGUGGAAUUCCUAGUGUAGCGGUGAAAGGCGUAGAUAUUAGGAGGAACACCUGUGGCGAAGGCGACUUACUGGACUGUAACUGACGCUGAGUCACGAAAGCGUGGGUAGCAAACA
rnacentral:rRNA from 1 species